rnacentral:rRNA from 1 species
CCUGUAAGACUGGGAUAACUCCGGGAAACCGGAGCUAAUACCGGAUAGUUCCUUGAACCGCAUGGUUCAAGGAUGAAAGACGGUUUCGGCUGUCACUUACAGAUGGACCCGCGGCGCAUUAGCUAGUUGGUGAGGUAACGGCUCACCAAGGCGACGAUGCGUAGCCGACCUGAGAGGGUGAUCGGCCACACUGGGACUGAGACACGGCCCAGACUCCUACGGGAGGCAGCAGUAGGGAAUCUUCCGCAAUGGACGAAAGUCUGACGGAGCAACGCCGCGUGAGUGAUGAAGGUUUUCGGAUCGUAAAGCUCUGUUGUUAGGGAAGAACAAGUGCAAGAGUAACUGCUUGCACCUUGACGGUACCUAACCAGAAAGCCACGGCUAACUACGUGCCAGCAGCCGCGGUAAUACGUAGGUGGCAAGCGUUGUCCGGAAUUAUUGGGCGUAAAGGGCUCGCAGGCGGUUUCUUAAGUCUGAUGGGAAAGCCCCCGGCUCAACCGGGGACGGUCAUAGGAAACUAGGAAACUUGAGUCCAGAAGAGGAGAGUGGAAUUCCACGUGUAGCGGUGAAAUGCGUAGAGAUGUGGAGGAACACCAGUGGCGAAGGCGACUCUCUGGUCUGUAACUGACGCUGAGGAGCGAAAGCGUGGGGAGCGAACAGGAUUAGAUACCCUGGUAGUCCACGCCGUAAACGAUGAGUGCUAAGUGUUAGGGGGUUUCCGCCCCUUAGUGCUGCAGCUAACGCAUUAAGCACUCCGCCUGGCGAGUACGGUCGCAAGACUGAAACUCAAAGGAAUUGACGGGGGCCCGCACAAGCGGUGGAGCAUGUGGUUUAAUUCGAAGCAACGCGAAGAACCUUACCAGGUCUUGACAUCCUCUGACAACCCUAGAGAUAGGGCUUUCCCUUCGGGGACAGAGUGACAGGUGGUGCAUGGUUGUCGUCAGCUCGUGUCGUGAGAUGUUGGGUUAAGUCCCGCAACGAGCGCAACCCUUGAUGUUAGUUGCCAGCAUUCAGUUGGGCACUCUAAGGUGACUGCCGGUGACAAACCGGAGGAAGGUGGGGAUGACGUCAAAUCAUCAUGCCCCUUAUGACCUGGGCUACAC